rnacentral:Y_RNA from 1 species
AGCUGGUGUCAAUGCAAUGCUGUUUACAACUAAUUGAUCAUGACCAGUGCCAGAUUGCUUUGUUCCUUCUCCAUUCCCACUGCUGCACUUGACAAGCCUCAA